AAAACGGCCCCAUCCUCACCUCCAGUCCUGGCUCCCUCCCACCGUUUCUCUCCUUUCCUUGACUUCGUCUUCCUUGCCUCCUCCGCCUACCUCCUGCGCCUACCGGUUGUCUGUAGGUGGCCUCCAUUGCUGCUUCCGCCCUGGUCUGCCAAUGCUGUGGCGCCGCGCCGUCGCUUCCGCCUUCCGCAGGUGUUGGCGGGGCGGGUUGUGCCGCCGGAUUCGGCUGCGCCGGGUCCCGGCUGCACGUGGCCCGGCCUGCCUGCCAUCCUUCGCGGCUUCCGAGGUGGGCCCCUAGGGUGGCCUGUGUUGCGUCUUCCGUCACGCUAGCUCCCGGGUGGGCGCCGCUCGCCGUGACUGCUCCCGUUCCUGCGUUCUGGCCUCGCCCUGCUCCCGGAGGCCACCAUAGACGCAAUGAGCCUCUACCACUACCCCAACCUCACUAUUGUUGAAGAAGACGUCUGCAUCAAGCUGAGGAUUAAUCAGCUUCGCCGUGCCAUAGUCGCAAAAUUUCCACAGCAUGAACCGCACAACAUCACUGCGGAAACUAUCCAAACAACAAUUCAAGUGCAAUAUGGAGUUUCUCUAGACCGUCACAACAUAUCACAAUUUGUAUCAGGUUUUUUAUUGGAGAUACGAUCAUCCUCUGCUCGCAGCCUCAUGAUAAGAAAAGGAUUUCUAGCCA